rnacentral:rRNA from 1 species
AUUGAACGCUGGCGGCAGGCUUAACACAUGCAAGUCGAGCGGGGUGAUGGUGCUUGCACUAUCACUUAGCGGCGGACGGGUGACUAAUGCUUAGGAAUCUGCCUAUUAGUGGGGGACAACAUCUCGAAAGGGAUGCUAAUACCGCAUACGUCCUACGGGAGAAAGCAGGGGAUCACCUGUGACCUUGCGCUAAUAGAUGAGCCUAAGUCGGAUUAGCUAGUUGGUGGGGUAAAGGCCUACCAAGGCGACGAUCUGUAGCGGGUCUGAGAGGAUGAUCCGCCACACUGGGACUGAGACACGGCCCAGACUCCUACGGGAGGCAGCAGUGGGGAAUAUUGGACAAUGGGGGGAACCCUGAUCCAGCCAUGCCGCGUGUGUGAAGAAGGCCUUAUGGUUGUAAAGCACUUUAAGCGAGGAGGAGGCUCUUUUGGUUAAUACCCAAGAUGAGUGGACGUUACUCGCAGAAUAAGCACCGGCUAACUCUGUGCCAGCAGCCGCCGUAA